rnacentral:rRNA from 1 species
ACCUACCCAUUACUAGGGAAUAACCCAGCGAAAGUUGGCCUAAUGCCCUAUGUAGUCGUUUGAUCGCCUGAGAUUUCGACGAAAGAUUUAUCGGUAUUGGAUGGGGAUGCGUCUGAUUAGCUUGUUGGCGGGGUAAAGGCCCACCAAGGCAACGAUCAGUAGGGGUUCUGAGAGGAAGGUCCCCCACAUUGGAACUGAGACACGGUCCAAACUCCUACGGGAGGCAGCAGUGAGGAAUAUUGGUCAAUGGGCGAGAGCCUGAACCAGCCAAGUAGCGUGCAGGAUGACGGCCCUAUGGGUUGUAAACUGCUUUUAUAUGGGAAUAAAGUGAGGGACGUGUCCCUUAUUGCAUGUACCAUACGAAUAAGGACCGGCUAAUUCCGUGCCAGCAGCCGCGGUAAUACGGAAGGUCCAGGCGUUGUCCGGAUUUAUUGGGUUUAAAGGGAGCGUAGGNUGUUUGUUAAGCGUGUUGUGAAAUGUAAGAGCUCAACUUUUAGAUUGCAGCGCGAACUGGCAGACUUGAGUGCGCACAACGUAGGCGGAAUUCAUGGUGUAGCGGUGAAAUGCUUAGAUAUCAUGACGAACUCCGAUUGCGAAGGCAGCUUACGGGAGCGCAACUGACGCUAAAGCUCGAAGGUGCGGGUAUCGAACAGGAUUAGAUACCCUGGUAGUCCGCACAGUAAACGAUGGAUGCCCGCUGUUAGCACCUAGUGUUAGCGGCUAAGCGAAAGCAUUAAGCAUCCCACCUGGGGAGUACGCCGGCAACGGUGAAACUCAAAGGAAUUGACGGGGGCCCGCACAAGCGGAGGAACAUGUGGUUUAAUUCGAUGAUACGCGAGGAACCUUACCCGGGCUUGAAUUGCAGAUGUUUAUAUCAGAGAUGAUAUAUUCCCUUCGGGGCAUUUGUGAAGGUGCUGCAUGGUUGUCGUCAGCUCGUGCCGUGAGGUGUCGGCUUAAGUGCCAUAACGAGCGCAACCCCUUUUUUUAGUUGCCAUCAGGUAGUGCUGGGCACUCUAGAGAUACUGCCACCGUAAGGUGUGAGGAAGGUGGGGAUGACGUCAAAUCAGCACGGCCCUUACGUCCGGGGCUACACACGUGUUACAAUGGGUGGUACAGAGAGUUGGUUGUACGCAAGUGCAAUCUAAUCCUAAAAACCAUUCUCAGUUCGGACUGGGGUCUGCAACCC